rnacentral:rRNA from 1 species
AGCUCCAAGAGCGUAUAUUAAAGUUGUUGCAGUUAAAAAGCUCGUAGUUGGAUUUCUGGUAUAAUGCGCCUGGCCCGCGACCGUUAGGUCUGUGAGUGCCGGCGCGCGUUUGCCAUCCUUCUAGAAAACGUUUCUACCCUUCGCUGGGCCGGACUCGCGAUCUAGAUCUUUUACUUUGAAAAAAUUAGAGUGUUUAAAGCAGGCUUUUGCUAUGAAUACAUUAGCAUGGAAUAAUAAUCUAGGACUUCGGUUCUAUUUUGUUGGUUUCUAGUACUGAAGUAAUGAUUGAUAGGGAUAGUUGGGGGUGCUAGUAUUGGCCGGCCAGAGGUGAAAUUCUUGGAUUCGGUCAAGACUAACUUAUGCGAAAGCAUUCACCAAGGAUGUCUUCUUUAAUCAAGAA